rnacentral:rRNA from 1 species
GGAUUGAACGCUGGCGGCAGGCCUAACACAUGCAAGUCGAGCGGUAGAGAGGUGCUUGCACCUCUUGAGAGCGGCGGACGGGUGAGUAAUGCCUAGGAAUCUGCCUAGUGGUGGGGGAUAACGUUCGGAAACGGACGCUAAUACCGCAUACGUCCUACGGGAGAAAGCGGGGGACCUUCGGGCCUCGCGCCAUUAGAUGAGCCUAGGUCGGAUUAGCUAGUUGGUGAGGUAAUGGCUCACCAAGGCGACGAUCCGUAACUGGUCUGAGAGGAUGAUCAGUCACACUGGAACUGAGACACGGUCCAGACUCCGUACGGGGAGCAGCAGGUGGGAAUAG